rnacentral:rRNA from 1 species
AUGAAUCUCUUGGCCUGGAACUGUCGAGGCUUGGGGUUGGACUCGACAGUUGGCGAACUACGGGACCUCAUAUAGUCAUACAACCCAGUGGUGGUUUUUCUUUCAGAAACGUUGAAAAAAUCUGAGCCAAUGAAUAAGCUUAAGUGGAGCUUGGGGUUCCGACAAGAAGUAGCAGUUAGUUGUGCAGGUAGGAGUGGUGGGCUUGCUUUAUGGUGGAGGGAUGAUGUGGAUGUCACAGUGAGACCGUGGAGUCAAUACUUCAUUGAUGCGGGGGUGAAGUUCGAGGGUAAAUCCUUUAGAUUCGCUGGAAUGUACGGGGAACCCCGGACAGACCACAGGAAGAAAACCUAG